rnacentral:rRNA from 1 species
CAAUAGCGUAUAUUUAAGUUGUUGCAGUUAAAAAGCUCGUAGUCGGAUUUUGGCUGAGAACGAUCGGUCCGCCGUUAGGUGUGCACUGAUUGGUCUCAGCUUCCUGGUGAGGAGGUGUGCUUCACGGCCACUUAGUCACCGUGGUUACUUUGAAAAAAUUAGAGUGUUCAAAGCGGGCUUACGCUUGAAUAUAUUAGCAUGGAAUAACACCAUAGGACCCCUGUCCUAUUUCGUUGGUCUCGGGACGGGAGUAAUGAUUAAGAGGAACAGUUGGGGGCAUUCGUAUUUCAUUGUCAGAGGUGAAAUUCUUGGAUUUAUGAAAGACGAACUUCUGCGAAAGCAUUUGCCAAGGAUGUUUUCAUUGA